CCAAUAUUAGCAGGUCGGCGGUAAGGAUGGAGAGGAAGAGAAUCCCGGCAGUCGCCCUACUGACGCUCUCACUUCCCUUACUAUGAAUGCCUGGGAGGCCUCAAGUUUGGGACGGCAACAUCACAGAAUGGAAGGAGACUAGAUCCCUGAGUCACUUUGUGGAAGAAAGCUACGAAGGAGAGUUGCCUGAACAGCAUUGGACUGUGAUAUUACCGAUGGGGCUUCCCUGGUGGUGCAGUGGUUGAGAGUCUGCCUGUCAAUGCAGGGGACACGGGUUCGAGCCCUGGUCUGGGAAGAUCCCACAUGCUGCGGAGCAGCUGGGCCCGUGAGCCACAAUUACUGAGCCUGCGCGUCUGGAGCCUGUGCUCCGCAACAAGAGAGGCUGUGAUAAUGAGAGGCCCGCGCACUGCGAUGAGGAGUGGCCCCUACUUGCUGC